CUCUCGUUUGACGAGCGACGGACGAGUGAGGAAUGUCUGGCAGACUGCCUGAGGGAGGGGGAUAACUACUGGAAACGGUAGCUAAUACCGCAUACUGUCGCAGAACCAAAGUGGGCUACCUUCCUUCCUCAUGCCAUCGAAUGUGCCCCGAUGGAAUUAGUUAGUGAGUGGGGUAAUCGCUCACCUAAGCAACCAUCCCUGGCUGGUCUGAAAGAAUGACCACCCUGACUGUAACUGACACACGGUCCUCACUCCUACGGGAGGCAGGAGUGGGAAAGAUUGCUCAAUGGGCGCCUGCCUGAUGCAUGCAUGCCGCGUGUGUAAAGAAUGCCUUCUGUUUGUAAAUUACUUUCGGCGGGAAGGAAGGUAAUCUAGUUAAUAACCUUGUUGAUUGACCUUACCCACAAAACAACCACCGGCUAACUCCCUGCCAGCAGCCGCGGUAAUACGGAGGGAGCAAGCGUUAAUCUUACUUACUGUACGUAAAGCGCACGCAGGCGGUCUGUCAAGUCGGAUGUGAAAUCCCCGGGCUCAACCUGCUGCUGCAUUCCUGCUGGCUAGCUAGAGUCUUGUAGAGGGGGGUAGAAUUCGUGGUGUAGCGAUGAAAUGCGUAUAGAUAUGGAGGAAUACCGGUGACGAAGGCGCCCCCCUGGAUACUGACUGACGCUCAGGUGCGAAUGCGUGGGGAGCAACAUGAUUAGAUAUGCUGGUAGUCCACGCCAUAAACGAUGUCUAUCUGGAGGAUGCGUCCAUGAUGCGUGGCUUCCGGUAGCUAACUCAAUAAAUCGACCUGCCUGGGGGAGUACGGCCA
rnacentral:rRNA from 1 species